rnacentral:rRNA from 1 species
GAUGAACGCUGGCGGCGUGCCUAAUACAUGCAAGUCGAGCGAACAGACGAGGAGCUUGCUCCUCUGACGUUAGCGGCGGACGGGUGAGUAACACGUGGAUAACCUACCUAUAAGACUGGGAUAACUUCGGGAAACCGGAGCUAAUACCGGAUAAUAUAUUGAACCGCAUGGUUCAAUAGUGAAAGACGGUUUUGCUGUCACUUAUAGAUGGAUCCGCGCCGCAUUAGCUAGUUGGUAAGGUAACGGCUUACCAAGGCAACGAUGCGUAGCCGACCUGAGAGGGUGAUCGGCCACACUGGAACUGAGACACGGUCCAGACUCCUACGGGAGGCAGCAGUAGGGAAUCUUCCGCAAUGGGCGAAAGCUUGCCGGAGCAACGCCGCGUGAGUGAUGAAGGUCUUCGGAUCGUAAAACUCUGUUAUUAGGAAGAACAAAUGUGUAAGUAACUAUGCACGUCUUGACGGUACCUAAUCAGAAAGCCACGGCUAACUACGUG